rnacentral:lncRNA from 1 species
CUCUCGGCUUGCACUAAGGAGGAGGUCACGUGAGCACACAGUGAGAAGGCGGAGGACCAUCUGCAAGCAGGAAGAGAGCCCUCGCUAGAACCCCCCACGGUGGCAUCUGAUAGUGGACUUCUAGCUUCCAGAACUGAACUCAUAAAUGUCACAUCAGGCUGCCUCUUGGUGAAUUUUUAAUCAACGGGGAGAAUUUCAGCUACAAAUAGACCAAGAAUCAAGAGGCCCACUAUUGAUCGGUCAAAGUGGCACUUAUGAACCUGAGGUUGAAGCAGUUUGGAUAAAAGGAUUCUGGGCUUUCGAUGGCCCCAGAGACAUCUUUUUCCAUCAAGUCCAGGAGAGGAGAGCCUGACGUUUCAAGAACUCAAGGUUCAGUACUAGGUCUUAGAGGAAGACUUCAUUUUAGCUUUGAUGCUCUCCGCUAGGCACAGAGAAACUUAAGCAGAAUGACAAGACCUGCUGUUUGAGUAACUCACGUUCUGACCAGAGAGACAGACAUGUCAGCAAGAGGUUACAAUACAGUGUGCUCAGAUUCUCCGGGACUUGGAGCACUUGUUCCAGAAAGGAAGGCCAGGGAAGUCUUCCAGGAGUAGAUGGCGCCUCUGCUGACCUGAAGGGUGAGGAAAAAGUGUCCAGUUGCAGAAGGUGCAACUGCCUAUAGAACAGCUGCCGCGGCCCACUGAAAGCUUCAAGCCGAGACCUGAGGUGCAUGAACCCUCCUUCUGAUAAGCUUCAGAGCAGAAAUGAUGCAACUGAGUCACAGAGAAGUUAAGUAAUCUGCCUGCCGACACUCGGGUCGAUGCCGCCUCAUUCCAUCACUCGGGCAAUGGAGCCAAAGGCCACGUUCACAACCACUAGGCUGUCCCAGCCCCUUGCUUCAAAGAUAGCCAGGCAGGAGUUAUUUUAUAGAAUGGAAGUAAUUUCUACGGGGCCAAGCAAUAAUAAGGAAAUUGGAAGUCAAGGACUAUCUUCCGAAUGGAGAAGAAGCUCCAUCAACCACAGAAGGAAAUUAUGAUCACUCCUGCCAUCCUGCUCCUUUGUGUAUCCAGGAUGAAGGGGAGAAUUGGAGUCUUGCACAAUGAAAGGACAACAUUGCUGCCAAAACAAUCCAUCGUGACUGUAGACAUAUUUUCCACCCUCAUCCUGCAGGUUUUCUGCCAGUUGUUGGCCCCUCACCAAUUUUGCUCCUGGGCAGUCUGAGGUGGAACAUAAUUUUGUAUAAAACAAAUUAUGCUCAACCUCACUUAUAAUCAGGGAAAUGUGAGUCAAAACCACAAUAAAAUAUCACCUCAUGCUGUU